GACGUAGGGGGCCAGCGUUGCUCGGAAUUACUGGGCGUAAAGGGUUCGUAGGCGGUGCGGCAAGUCGGGAGUGAAAUCUCUGGGCUUAACUCAGAGGCUGCUUCCGAAACUGGCGUGCUAGAGUGCGGGAUAGGCGAGUGGAAUUGCAGGUGUAGCGGUGAAAUGCGUAGAUAUCUGCAGGAACACCCGUGGCGAAGGCGGCUCGCUGGACCGCAACUGACGCUGAGGAACGAAAGCUAGGGGAGCAAACAGG
rnacentral:rRNA from 1 species